UUUUGUUUGCGUCUAUUCUUGGUUUUCCCCUGUUUUUGGUUUUUCUCCCGAAGCUUUCACCUUACGCGACUCUCUCUCUGAAAUCGUCAAGCGAUGCAUCAGUCCAUUAUCUUCCUUCACGAAUCUUCCUCUGUUUGCUAUGCAUAAAUCCAUUUUCUUCCUUUCGUAUCUACCCGUCUUCCUUAUGGCAAUAUGUGUUUCUCAUCAUCAUUGGUAUAACAUCUGUCCAAUCUUCAUGUGAGUUAUGCGGCCAUUGCUGAGGCGGCUCUUGGCCAAGCCUGAAGUUGCGAGCCAAUAGAGAUAGGAAAGAAAGCGAAGAGAUCAAGGAAGGGGAAGAAAGCUUGGAGAGCCAAACAUAAGCGUUGCCGAAAUCGAAGACUUCUUCAAAAAAUCCGCCAAACACGCGCUCUCCGGUGGCUCCCUCACUGAUCUUCCUAGCGACUCUCUCUUCUACGUCGACAAGUCUAAAGGUACUCGCUGGGACGUUGCUUUCUCCUGGCGAUGGCGUCUAUACUUGGAUGUGUUCCUUGCAUCCAUUUGUUGUUCCUGUUGCGCUUUGCUCUUCCUAUGCUUGGCGAGAGAAAACAGAAGACACUGGACAAAAGAAGAAAAAAUACAAAGCAUCACAUUUGCAAGAUGCACAAAACGGGCCGUUUCCGUAGAUAGAUUUCGUGCCUUUGGUUAUUGGUGAUGGUGUUUAUCUACACAACCAAUCAAUUCAAUGGAUUUUUUCUUUGAUGAAGUGAAUUUUGGAGCUUCUAACUAUGCACAUUCUGCAUAUUCCAUGGUUCUUGUGGCCAUGGCGAGCAUUGCAUCUUUAUUUGUUUUAUCUAAAAGCAAUGGAUUUGUUGGAAUCUUGGUUAUUUCUUUCAAUUGGCCAUCCUCCUAGACAAGGUAAUUCAUCAAUACAUUCCUCCCGACAACGAUACAAAAGUAUGCAUUCUACUAUCAAAAGAGACAACAGUAUUGUUCAAGAUAAUUCAUGUCCAGACUAUCUAGGAAGAUGAACUGGUGUUACCUUUGUUGAUGGUCUUUUAAAGCUUGGCAUCUGCAGUUCUUUGGGAUACCUGGCAGAUGGGGCAAAGAUGGGAAAAAAGUGGUGCUUCUUUAGCUUCAGAGACAGGAAGCACCCAACUGGGUUUAAAAAACAGAGCCACUGGAGCUAGCUACUGGAAGGCCACAAUGAAAGACAGAGAGGUUUACAGUGCUUCAAUAGAGUAGGUUUGAUUCUAAUGCGAAAACCCAAGAUUGGUCUGAAUUUAGAGUCGUCUUUAAUUUUGCGGGGUUUAUAUCUAGACAAGGGGAUAUCGAGAUACAGUUCGUGAAAACUGAGAAAUUCAAUAGGAAUUUAGUUUCAGAUGGCUGCAACAAUGGAAACUGACGAUGACAAUGAGAACAAUAAAGGUAGUAUGUAGGCUUUGGAUCAGAAGUUUGAUCAGUCCAUGGAUGAGGAGGCGGCAGUCUCAAGAAUAUGUACAGAGAAAAGGUCUUGACAGUUACAAUCAAUUGUAGAAGAGGUAUUCUAUCUAACUGAGUCAUACCAAUGGGGAGAUGCAUGGUCUGGAUAUACACCGAGCAUGACCUUUAGGCUUUACUAAUUACACACUGAUGAGAUAAUGUUGUGUGGAGUGAGCUUUUCGAUCUGUUUAGACAUGGUCUGGUAUGUCAUUUAAAUACUUUACUUGGGAAUUCGAUUUAUGAUUUCUGUGCUUAGUUUUAGUUUUGGACUUUCAAGGAUUGAAUUGGAUUAGAUUUUCAAAAGUAGCAUUUUAUUUGUUGAGGUGGAGCAUUUCAUUUCAUUACCUAGCAUUGGAAAUUGUAAACCCAAGAUGUAUGUGGCAAGGUGGUUCCAGGCAUUGGUAACUCUGCCUUGGGAGAAUGAGAUAGAGAUUCGCCUGUUCGAUAUGGAGGAGAAUACGACGUCUCUGUCUGAGGUGUACAAACUUGGUUUUGAGUUUUGGAUCCUUCCAAGUGGGUGGAAUUGUGUCAGUGAAAUGAAAUUUGGAUGCUAUUUCUGUCUGGGUAAAUAAAUACCGAUUUUCAUGUUGGUGGUGUACCAUUUUGAUUCUUCUAUCUAGGUUUGUAUUCAUCUUCGUUUGCACUUUUUAGUUCCCCUGUCAAAUGCUGAAUUUUAAUAUCUAUUUGUUUUUUUUCUCUUUUUUCAUUGUAGCUUUUGAUCACGGAUUGGAAGCUCGCGAUGAGUGGUUUUUUUGUUUGUUUGUUGUCAUUGUGACUGUUUUGGUGUUUUUCCUUUUAAUUUUUCAGUUUUUGACUUUCCGUAUGGGGUGUGGGAUUGGAAUAAAUUUGUCGACAUGAAAACUUACUCCCCUAAGCUCAGUCCUGGGGGGGUCCUGCCUCAAAGUGAUGCUGGUACAUUCAAUGUUGGGGACAGAAGUGAAACCAUGGAGAUCGUUACUUCUCCAAGGAAAGAAGUUGAGAAUGAUAUAGGGAAUGAUGAACAUGAAGAGUGAAAUUGAUGGGGAUAGAGAGAGCAUGUCAAUUGGGAGAACAGUAGUGGUGGAUUGAACAUAUGGAAGUGGAGCUUAAAUGGGAUUGGAGCUAUCUGUUCAUUUCAUGUUGCUGCUGCUACCUUUUGUGUCAGUCACCAUAGAAACAAACAGCAGAAGCAGACCAGAACAUCAGCUUCCCGAUUUAAGUAUUUUCUUAGCCAACUUCUAUAGAUGAAUAUUAGUAAUUUAUUCCAUGGAAAUUUUGAUUAGUAUCCUUAUUGAGGGAACUGUAUUGAAAAGUUGUGGAGGUGAAUUUUGGAUGGAAAUUGAACUGGCUGUGAUUUUUGGAUGCAGACAAACUUUUGUCAUAUCACCGAUCAUUACCUGCCUUCACAAUGAUAUUAUCCCGCUGCAAAGCGCGGGCUGUCAGCUA